GGCCCAUUAGGCUAACGGUAGACCGGGUCGUUUACACCGACCAUGCCGAGGUUCAAUUCCUCGAUGGGCCA
rnacentral:tRNA from 1 species